CACAAGGCUCCAAGCAACAAAAACCCAAAGAAUUUCUCGUGGGCAAAAACCCAAACAACUUUUUCUAUGUGCCUUCCCCACGCACACUCCCUUCCGUCCUGCUCAAGUCGCGUUUGAAUCAUUCCAUAUUUUCCAUUCCUCCAUUCGAUUCGGUUCAACCUCCUCUCCCCGAAGGCACCCAAACCCUAGGGACCCGGGGGCGAAGCCAGCCAGACAGCCAGCCAUGGGGUGCGCGCAGGGCAAGUGCUGCGGCGGCGGAGGAGAAGGAGUCGCGGAACGAGAAGGAGUAGGCGGCGUGCCUGGUGGAGGGCGCGGCGGCGGCGGCGCUACCACCCUCGGGCGCGCGGCGGUGCCGGGGGCGGGGCUGGUGCUGGAGUACGCGACGCUGGCGGUGGACGGGCUGUACCCGGACGCGCCGGGGCGGGAGUCGCAGGACGCGCACCUCGUGGCCACGCGCUUCGCGGGUGACCCCGAUCUCCACCUCUUCGCCGUCUUCGACGGCCACGGCGCCUGCGGGGCCGCCUGCGCGCAGUUCGCGCGCGAGGCGCUCCCGCGGCUCCUCCUCCUCCCCCGCCUCGCGGCGGACCCCGCGGGCGCGUUCCGGGAGGCCAUGACGGCGGCCAACGAGGAGAUGCACGCGGCGGGGGGCGUGGACGACUCCAUGAGCGGGACCACCGCCGUGGCGGCGCUGGUGGCCGGGGGCGCGCUCCACGUGGCCAACGUCGGGGACUCGCGCGCCGUGGCCGGGGUCUGGCGCGACGGGCGCGUCGCGGCGGAGGAGCUGUCCUGGGACCAGACGCCGUUCCGCGCCGACGAGCGCGCGCGCGUCAAGGCGUGCGGGGCGAGGGUCAUGUCGGUCGAGCAGGUGGAGGGCGUGCGCGACCCGGACGCCGAGGGCUGGCUCGCCGACGAGGGGGACCCGCCCCGCGUGUGGGCACGCGACGGGCUCUACCCCGGCACGGCCUUCACCCGCAGCCUCGGCGACCUCGCCGCUGAGGGGGUUGGGGUCAUCGCCGAGCCUGAGGUGAAGAGCGUGGAGAUCACUCCAGCCCACCUGUUCUUCGUCGUCGCCAGUGAUGGGGUGUUCGAGUUCCUCUCCAGCCAGGAAGUCGUUGACAUGGUGGCUAUGCACAAAGAUCCCCGAGAUGCCUGUUCAGCAAUCGCUGCAGAGUCAUACAAACUAUGGCUGGAACAUGAAAACAGGACAGAUGAUAUAACAAUAAUAAUUGUGCAUAUACGGGAUGCUGAAAAUUCAGGUCCUGCAGGGAGUGACAAAGCUAACUACAGCGGCACGGGAGCGCCGAUAGCAUUGCACACGGUACAAUCAGGGCUACCUACAUUUGUACCGUCAGAAGUAUAUCACCUUAACGGAGGUGCUGCUACGGAACUACCGCAAUCCUCUUCUGGCUCUCCAUCGGAACGACGUCUCUCCUGUGUUGCUCCUUCACCUACACACCUUUUGUUAGGAGGUGAUAAAGCAUCAGAAGCAUCCAGGCCAACACAAACUGAGAGAGCUGUGCACAUGGUACAAUCAGAGCUACCUGUAUUUGUACCGUCAGAAACAUAUCACCUGAGCGGAGGUGCAGCUACUGAACUACAGCCAUCGUCUUCUGGCUCUCCAUCAGAACGAUGCCUCUCCUCCACUGCUCCUUCAUCUCCACACCUUUUGUUCAGAGGCAGUAAAUCAUCAGAAGUAUUCAAGCCGACACAAACCGAGAGAGCUGCACCGCAAGCAGUGGAAGCUUGACUUCAAAGUGAGCCCUUUAACAUAAAUCUCACAAAGGAAGCAGCAGCCCGACCAAUCGUCACCCUACGUAAGGUGACCUCGUCAGCCGCGGAUGUCAUGCUGGCUAACAGUGCUUGUUCUGCACCGGUCCCAAGGCUCGGUGCCGUUGCUCGUGUUUUCUUAGAGCGACUGCUGGCUGACAACACAGAAGGUUCUGACCCAAACAGGGCAGUUUAACUGUGGAUUGAUUGGCUUUUCAACAUGUGGCGAUCGAGCGCCGCUAAGCGUUUGGUCCAGGAUGGAGUUCAGUUUACUUGUAUUAUUUCUUAACUAUACUAUAUUAUUACAAGAUAUUAAUAAGUUGAUGCUUGCCGUAAUAUGGUGUGGCCUGCAGUGAAGUGCAGCUGCCACAACGAACAUUUGACGCUUUCUUUUACCGAUAGGAGGGGUUCUUUUUUAGUUGAAUAUCAGCUGCUUUUUAGUGUUUACUGAACAAACACGUUUGCUUUACAUGCUUAUGGUUGGCAGAUUCCAUCUCCACAAGAGAGUAAUAAUUAUCCGUCUUGAUGGCA